UAUGUAUUAUUCUACCAUAUGUAUCAAAGGAUGUCUAUUUUAAGUUGCAUACGCAUUGCGUGUGCGUCGGUUGCUAGUGUAUUCCAGAUGGAGAUCGUCCUCUUCCUCCUCCCAAAACUAAAAAAGAGAAAGAAAAGACAAGCAACUGCAAGUUUUCUAUGUUUUUUUUCCAAUAUUGUUUCCUAUCUCAGAGAGUCAGUGUAGUGAAGAAAAACAAGCAGGAUCUGAGAGAGCUGAUUAACGGCUUCAAGGUCGGACUUGCUUUGGUUUCGGUUUCACUUUUAUCUCUUCGACUCUCUCCAUGAGCAAGUCGAAGAAACUGUCAUGUGGGCUAUAAUGACUAUCGUCAUAAUGUUAAGAGUUCUUUGCAGGUGCUACACUUAGCAAGGGUUUAAAUCGAGUGUUGGGAAUUUUAUUAGGAGGUGGACUUGGAUGCACAGCUGCAAUUUUAGAGAUAAAAAAUUGGUGGCAUGGGAAAGGCCAGCACCAUAAUCAUUAUUUCGUCAGUCUUUAUCAUCAGUAAAAUAUCUGUCCAGACAGGAAGCGCUGUAGUUUCAUAAUCGGUGCUGCUGGUACAUGCAUACACUUAAUUGCAGCCGAUGAUCCAGAAGAGAUACGACUAUGCGGCAAUGAUAUUCAUCCUGACCUUCAAUUUAGUGAUAUAUUGUUUCGGGUUUACGUACCCAGGAGGUUUUGGAUUUAGCUGGUGAUCCACUUUCAACUGUCGUUACUGGUGUCCUCGUUUUCGUCUUCAUAAGCUUUCUGGUCUUCCCCCCAUGGGCUGGUGAUGAACUUCACGACUCUAUAGCCAAAUGCUUGGAACCUUACUUCACAUUAGACAGGGAAGAGUAACCUGCCCGUACAGUCCACUUCCAAUUCCAGUAGUUGCAAACUGGUGUUGCACUAGAAGUCUAAGGAUGAGUAGCUGGUAUAUCAUCCAUGAUCUUGUCACUCAAGAACAUGUGAUGAACAUGAAAUACGACAUAUGUUCUAUAUGUUGUCAAAAUGUUAUCAAUCUAAAGUAUUCUAUUCGUUAGACGAAUUCCUGUAAAAAUGCAAGUUUGAAAUUU